UGCCACAAAAUCAGAGAAUGGUUCC
rnacentral:piRNA from 1 species